GAGCACUUAGGGCUCAGGAUAGGUGGGAACCACCAUCGUCUCCUCCGUGCCUGCUCCCCAAGAACCCCAAGUGCUUCAGGAGGAGACAUGCUGGGGUCUGUCACCCUCCUUCUCACCAUCCUGUUCCCUGUGACAAGAAGCCCAGCUGUUCAGCAGAGUGGAGACUUCAGUAACUUACGGCUUCAACCCCGGGCCCGGCCGCACUUCAGAACACUUGGGGCUCAGGACAGGUGGGAACCACCAUCGUCUCCUCAUCGCUUUCUCCCCAGAGUCCCGAGAGCCGUAGGCAGAGACAUGCUGGGGUCUGUCACCGUCCUUCUCGCCAUCCUGCUCCCUGCUGGCCAGACAGCAGUCAACAUUGACCAGCCAAUCGUCUCCAUCACCAGAAAGGCCGGGACAUUAGCACCAUUUCUCUGCAAGUUUUCCGGCCCAAGGAACACCUACAUCCACUGGUAUCACCAGCAGCCCGGGAAGGCUCCCCACCGCCUGCUCUACUGUAACGUGGGCACAUCUAAAGCCUGGUUGGAAUCAGGAUUCCACUCAGACAAAUUCCUUACUUACAAGUUCGUAGAUCAUACCUGCACCCUGAAAAUACAGAAUCUGAAAAAGAGUGAUGCUGGCACCUAUUACUGCGCCAGCUGGGACUCCACAAUGACACAGGUUCCUCUGCCUUUCAUACAAAAAAUCAUCAUCUCUGGUCACCAAGAGCAGGCUCUGCCUCCUCAACAGAUCUGGCACCCAAUCUUACUCCCUGCUUCAGUCUUCUUGGCAAAUUAA